rnacentral:rRNA from 1 species
UACGAAGGGGGCUAGCGUUGCUCGGAAUCACUGGGCGUAAAGCGCACGUAGGCGGAUUGUUAAGUCAGGGGUGAAAUCCUGGAGCUCAACUCCAGAACUGCCUUUGAUACUGGCGAUCUUGAGUCCGGGAGAGGUGAGUGGAACUCCGAGUGUAGAGGUGAAAUUCGUAGAUAUUCGGAAGAACACCAGUGGCGAAGGCGGCUCACUGGCCCGGUACGUGACGCUGAUGUGCGAAAGCGUGGGGAGCAAACAGG